rnacentral:rRNA from 1 species
CCUACGGGUGGCAGCAGUGGGGAAUUUUGGACAAUGGGCGCAAGCCUGAUCCAGCUAUUCCGCGUGUGGGAAGACGGCCUUCGGGUUGUAAACCACUUUUGUAGAGAACGAAAAGUCUGUUGAUAAUACCGAUAGAUGAUGACGGUACUCUAAGAAUAAGCACCGGCUAACUACGUGCCAGCAGCCGCGGUAAUACGUAGGGUGCGAGCGUGAAUCGGAAUUAAUGGGCGUAAAGGGUGUGCAGGCGGUUUUGCAAGAUGGAUGUGAAAGCCCCGGGCUUAACCUGGGAAAGCCAUACAUGACUGGAAGACUAGAGUGCGUCAGAGGGGGGUGGAAUUCCAAGUGUAGCAGUGAAAUGCGUAGAUAUUUGGAAGAACACCGAUGGCGAAGGCAGCCCCCUGGGACGCAACUGACGCUCAUACACGAAAGCGUGGGGAGCAAACAGGAUUAGAUACCCCAGUAGUC